GUAGGUGGCAAGCGUUGUCCGGAAUUAUUGGGCGUAAAGCGCGCGCAGGCGGUUUCUUUUAAGUUCUGAUGUGAAAGCCCACGGGCUCAACCGUGGAGGGUCAUUGGAAACUGGAGAACUUGAGUACAGAAGAGGAAAGCGGAAUUCCACGUGUAGCGGUGAAAUGCGUAGAGAUGUGGAGGAACACCAGUGGCGAAGGCGGCUUUCUGGUCUGUAACUGACGCUGAGGCGCGAAAGCGUGGGGAGCAAACAGGAUUAGAUACCCUGGUAGUCCACGCCGUAAACGAUGAGUGCUAAGUGUUAGGGGGUUUCCGCCCCUUAGUGCUGCAGCUAACGCAUUAAGCACUCCGCCUGGGGAGUACGGCCGCAAGGCUG
rnacentral:rRNA from 1 species